UACGUAGGGUGCGAGCGUUGUCCGGAUUUAUUGGGCGUAAAGGGCUCGUAGGCGGCGUGUCGCGUCGGGAGUGAAAGCCCGUUGCUUAACGGCGGGUUGGCUUUCGGUACGGGCAUGCUGGAGUGCGGCAGGGGAGACUGGAAUUCCUGGUGUAGCGGUGGAAUGCGCAGAUAUCAGGAGGAACACCGGUGGCGAAGGCGGUUCUCUGGGCCUUACCUGACGCUGAGGAGCGAAAGCGUGGGGAGCGAACAGG
rnacentral:rRNA from 1 species